CGAACGCUGGCGGCAGGCUUAACACAUGCAAGUCGAGCGAGAUCUUCGGAUCUAGCGGCGGACGGGUGAGUAACGCGUGGGAACGUGCCCUUUGCUACGGAAUAGUCCCGGGAAACUGGGUUUAAUACCGUAUACGCCCUUCGGGGGAAAGAUUUAUCGGCAAAGGAUCGGCCCGCGUUGGAUUAGGUAGUUGGUGGGGUAAUGGCCUACCAAGCCGACGAUCCAUAGCUGGUUUGAGAGGAUGAUCAGCCACACUGGGACUGAGACACGGCCCAGACUCCUACGGGAGGCAGCAGUGGGGAAUCUUAGACAAUGGGGGCAACCCUGAUCUAGCCAUGCCGCGUGAGUGAUGAAGGCCUUAGGGUUGUAAAGCUCUUUCAGCUGGGAAGAUAAUGACGUACCAGCAGAAGAG
rnacentral:rRNA from 1 species